rnacentral:rRNA from 1 species
AUGGACGAGCUCGCCCUGCCGCCGCCGCUCCAUCUUCCGCAUCUCCCGGACGACAUGCUCGUGGAGAUCCUCCUGCGACUCCCGCCGGAGCCCAUCCACCUCUUCUGCGCCUCCUUCGUCUCCAAGCACUGGCGAAGCCUCGUGCACGACGCCCGAUUCCUCCGCCGCUUCCGUGAGUUCCACGUGGGGAUGCCUCCCGUCCUCGGCUUCUUCAGCAACCGGCUGGAUCAUUCCCUCUUCGUCCCCACCUCCGGCGGCUUCGCGCUCUCCGCCGCCGCCAAGAUGUCCCACCGCGACUGGUGGGCCCUCGACUGCCGCCACGGCCGCGCCCUCCUGGAAAAGUUAGGGUCCCGAACGCUCCUCGUUUGGGACCUCGUGACCGGCGACCGGCGCUACCUGCCCCUUCCCCCCGCCUGCAAGCGGGGGUACAACGGCGCGGUUCUCCGCGCGGCCGGCCACGCCGACUGCCAUUGCCAUCGGUGCCCGUUCCUCGUGGUGUACGUGUUCAGACGACCUAAUUCUGCUGGAAUCUGUGCGUCCGUCUGGUCGUCCGAGACCGGCGUCUGGAGUGAGACCACCGUCAUCAUUGUACCAUAUUUAUCAGUUGUUCCGGAACCGUCGACUCUGGUUGGGAAUAAACUCUACUGGCUGCUGGAAAACUCUAGUAUCUUAGAGUAUGAUUUGGAUCAUCAUGGGCUGGGUCUAAUUCACGAGAUGCCAUACGACGCUCUCUGGGCGGGGAAGUUCCUCCUCAUGCCGGCAGAGGAUGGACGGCUUGGUUUGGCCGGAGUUGAACGACACAAUCUUCAUCUGUGGUCACUGAUUGCGAGCAUUGACGGGCGGGUAACAUGGACACAUCAAAGGGUAAUUGAUCUUGGGAAUUUCCUCGGGCCAGAAGUGGCGGCGAAAUGUAUCUAUGGGAUUGGUUUUGCUCAAGAUGCUGGGGUGAUCUUCAUUCAUAUGCACGCUACCGUCUAUAUGAUCCAUCUCAAGUCCAUGCAGAUCAAGGAGGUGUCAGAGAAAGGGUUGCACAUCUGCGGCGAUGCUUUGUUGGUAAAGAGAUGA